rnacentral:lncRNA from 1 species
GUGGUCACUAUUCAUGUGUCAUGCUUCGUGAUAUGAGCCAGUAGCCAACAUAUCUCAGGCAGAGCGGCAUCAUGCUUAUGUCACCUUUCUUCAUCGUAGGCAGAGCUUUGGUGGAUGAUGCCGUCUGCAGCUCCCGUUUCUCGCUUCUGUACACAUGCCUGCUGAAGCAAGUUUACCAUAUGGGGUUGCAACCCCCUCAUUUGAGUCCCGCAGAUCAUGCAAGCAAGCAGUUGCAAUGUCUAGCAUGCAAGCCCAAUUUUACUACUUCUCAUGAGACAACAUCAUACCUUGGGUUGUUGCUUGGGUUUGGUGCUGCCCAGGUGUGCAGCCAUGGCAUGAGGAGCGUGGUCGCGAUGGUGAAGUCCUAUGUUGCCAAGUUGCCAUAGAACUCGGCAAAGUCGUCAUAUUUCAUUCCACUGACGGCCAGGAAUUCCUCAAACGCUUUGGUGGCCUUAUCACCAGCAACACUGCAAACGUUGCUGGGCACGUUUAAAAUGUACCGCUCAUCUGAUGAACCAGUGCAAUGGCUGAUGAUGCCACUCACUUGUCAUUCGUUGGCUGCAUCAUAGCUGCAGCUGGACCUCGUGCAUCCUGCGCCUAUUGUCCGACGGCUGCGUGGGCUGCAUCCCGAAUCCACCCACAAAAUCAUCAUUGGCUUCCAUUGUGAUAUUACCUCUUAAGCAUCUUUAGAGAUUUGGCCUAUGGGGUUAGACAGUAGGGUCGGGCUGGAGCCAACUAUAGCACAGCCAGAGACUCUUGAUCCUGAGUAAGGUAAUUAUUACAAGGACGAUAACACUUGUUAGUUUGAUGCUGCAAUGAGUGGCAAUGCACAAUGAGACAGGUACAGAUCCUGCCUGUGGGUCGCCGCUGUACUGC